AUGCUUAGGCCCAUCCAUGGACGGUUUUGCUUACUUACCAGCUAUGGAGACCCGUGGUGGUGUGCUUCUCGCUUGGGACACCACUGUGCUCACCUUGGAUCAGAUUCAAUUAGACACAAACUUCCUAACGGGGCGCGUUCAAACAAAGACGGGACGAAGUGGUGGAUUUCUGCGGUUUAUGCGCCGCAAGGGGAUGAGCUCAAUACGCAAUUUCUCCAUGACCUUUACGCUAGACGCACUAGCUACCCAGGACCGUGCAUGAUUUUAGGGGACUUCAACAUGAUCCUUCGCGCGACGGAGAAGAGCAACACUAACAUCAAUAGGGCAAUGAUGGCCAAGUUCAGAGGCUUCGUUGAUGACCAUGAACUCAAGGAGCUAUACAUGCAUGGACGGACGUUCACCUAG
rnacentral:rRNA from 1 species